UCGUUAUUGCCCCCUUCGCUCUUCUCUAUGAAAGGAAAAUACGCCCAAAGAUGACGGUCGGAGUGUUCCUACGAAUAGCCUUGCUCGGCUUUAUUGAGCCAGUGUUGGAUCAGAAUCUCUACUAUGUCGGGAUGACUUACACGUCAGCAACCUUCGCUUCAGCCACCGCUAAUGUCCUUCCCGCCAUCACCUUCAUCAUGGCACUCAUUUUCAGAUUAGAGAGCGUGAACAUGAAGAAGGUACGAAG